rnacentral:lncRNA from 1 species
ACGAAAAGACAAUCCACAGAAUGGGAGGAAAUAUUUGCAAAUGAAGCAACUGACAAGGGAUUAAUCUCCAAAAUACAGGGAGUGCCUGUCAUGGCUCAGUGGUAAUGAACCUGACUAGUAUCCAUGAGAAUGAAGGUUCAAUCCCUGCCUUGCUCAGUGAGAUAAGGAUCCAGCAUUGCUCUGAGUUAUGGCAUAGGUCACAGACACAGCUCAGGUCCCAUGUCACUGUGGCUGUGGUGUAGGCCAGCAGCUACAGCUCCAAUUUGACCCCUAGCCUGAGAACUUCCAUAUUCCAUAGGUGUGGCCCCAAAAAGACAAAAAAACAAUAAAAAAACCUCCAAAAUAUACAAAUACCUCCUGCAAGCCAAUAUCAAAAAAACAAUCCAAUCAAAAAAUGGGCAGAAGAUCUAAAUAGAUAUUUCUCCAAAGAAGACAUACAAAUGGCAAAACAAAACAAAAAACAACAAAACAUGAAAAGAUGCUCAACAUCAGUAAUUAUUAGAGGAAUGCAAAUCAAAACUAUUAUGAAGUACCACCUUACACCAGCCAGAAUGGCCAUUAACAAAAAGUCUAUAAAUAAUAAACACUGGAGAGGGUAUAGAGAAAAGGAAACACUCUUACACUGUUGGUAGGAAUGUACAUUGGUGUACACUGGUACAACUACCAUGGAAAACAGUAUCGAGCUUCCUCAAAAAACCAAAAAGAGAACUACCUUACAAUCCAGCAAUCCCACUCCCGGGCAUCUAUCCAGAGGAAACCGAAUUGAAAAAGAUACAUGUACCCCAGUGUUCACUGCAGCACUAUUUACAACAGCCAAGACUUGGAAGCAACCUAAAUGUCCAUCAACAGAGUGGAUAAAGAAGAUGUAGUACAUAUAUACAAUGAAAUAUUACUCAGCCAUAAAAAGAAUGAAAUAAUGUCAUUUGCAGAAACAUGGAUGGACUCAGAAACUAUCAUACUAAGUGAAGUUAGUGAAAGCCAACCACCAUAUAACAUCACUUUUAUGUGCAAUCUUUUAAAAAAGGAUAUGAAUGAACAUAUUUGAGGAACAAAAAUAGACUCACAGACUUUGAAAAACUUAUGAUUUAACAAAGGGGACAGGUUGGGGGGUGGGAGGGAUGGACGAGGGGUUUGGGACUGGCAUAUGCACACUGACAUAUGUGGAAUGAUUGUCCAAUGAGGACCUGCUGUAUAGAACAGGGAACUCUACCCAGUAUUCUGUGACAAUCUAUGUGGGAAAAGAAUCUGAAAGAGAAUGGAUAUGUGUAUAUGUAUGACUGAGUCACAGAAGAAAUUAUCACAACACGGUAAAUCAAUUAUACUUCAGUACAACUUCAAAAAAAGGAAGUAGAUAUUGACUUUGUGCAGUUCCACUAAGGGAAUCAGUUAUCAAAAGCUCAGCCAUCCUAAAUGGACUUUGCUGGUUGGGAUUUGGGGGGAAUAUACACCAUGAAAUUAAUAUAUUCUUUAACUUUCAUUUUUCUACACUUAACCAGGUAUCCUCAUUGGAUGAAAUGAACUCAAGGUAAGAAAGUCUUGUUGAUUUUGACCAAGAAUACUUCAGAAAAAAAAAAAAAAUAAAGACUCUGUCUAGAAGGGUAAAUAAAAGAUAUCAGCCAUAAUUAAAAAGAUGAAAAAAGUCAGAAAGAGCAAAGCUUUCAUUUUUUGCAUCCUUUUUACAUUCCUAAGCUAACAGCGAUUAGCUGUAGCUUCCGUAUUACAUUCCUAAGGAUUCAAUCAUAUAUCAAUUGCAGCUCCCUUUGUAUUCACAAUAAUACCAUCAUUAACUACAAUUUUUUUUUCUAUUCCUAAGGAUAAGAUAAUAAAUUGGAUGCAGCCCCCCAUUGCAUUCCUAAGAACAUCAUCUGCAAUUGUCUGUAACUUUCCUUUGCAUUCCUACGGGUACCAUCAUAAGUUACUUGCAACUUAUACCAUUCACGAUACUAACAACACCAUCAUCAGUAGGCUUCAUCUUCAUUUUACAUUCCCAAGAAUACCAUCCUCAAUUAGCUGAGGCUUCCCAGUUACAUUCUAAAUAACACCAUCAACUGGCCACAACACCUUUUGAUUCUCACAGAUAACAUUCUCAAUUAGCUGCUAUUUUCCCAUUUAUAUUCCUAAAAAUACCACCAAUUGGUCACAGCUAACCACGUGCAUUUCCUAAGGUGACAGCAAGUAGCUGAAGCUUCUAUUUACAUUUGAAAGAAUACCAACCUCAAUUGGCUGCAGCUUCCUUUUUAUAUUCUUAUGUAUUUCUCAAUCAAUUGGUCACAGCUUCCUCUUUAUAAUCCCUAGAAGGACAUCAUCAAUUGGAUGCAGCUUCCCAUCUUCAUUGCAAAGAAUAUAUCAUUAAUUGGCCAAAACUUUCUCUUUGGAUUUCCACCGAUAGCAUAAUCAAUUAGCUGCAGCAUCCAAUUUACAUUCCUAAGUUAAGACACAGCUUCUCCUCUGCAUUCCCACUGAUACUAUAUCAAUUGGCUGCAGCUUCCACUUAUAAUUCUAGGGAUACCAUAUCAAAGGCUACAACCUGUCAUAAGCAUUCCCUUGAUGACAUUCUCACUAGCUGCAGCUUCCACCUACAUUCCUAAGGACACCAUCAUCAAUGGGCCACAGUUUCCCUUUGUUUUGCCAAUGAUACCAUUACCAAUUAGCUGCAGCAUCUCAUUUACAUUCCUAAGGAUACCUUCAUCAAUUGGCUACAGCUGAUUCCCCAUGAUAUGUUCAUCAGUCAGCUGCAGUUUCUCAUUUUCAUUCCUAAGUAUACCAUCAUAAAUUGGCCACACUAGCCUGUUCAUUUCCUAAGAUGACAUCAACUAGCUGCAGACUCCCACAUAAAUUCCUAACGAUACCAGCAUCAGUAGGCCACACUUUCUUUCUGCAUUCCUUUGAUGGUAUCACCGAUAGUGUAGCUUCCCAUUUAUAUCCCUAAGGAUGCCAUCAAUUUAUCACAGCAUCCCCUUUUGAACCCCAAUGAUAUCAUCAAUUGCCUGCAGUUUCUCAUUUUCAUUCCUAAGGAUGACAUUAUCAUUUAGCUGUAGAUUCCCAUUUACGUUGCCUUUUCAUUCUCAAUGAUACUAAAAUCAAUAGCUACAGGUUCCUGUUUAAAUUUCUAAGGAGAUAUCUUCAAUUGACCAGAGGUUUCUCUUAGAAUUCUCAAUGAUACUAUCAUCAAUUACUUGCAGCUUCCAUUUACAUUUCUAAGGCUACAUCAUCAAUUGUCCAUAGCUCUCUAUUUGCUUCCUCAAUGAUGCACUGUCAGUUAGCUGUAGCUCCCAUUUACAUUCCCAGGGAUAUGUAACAUCCAUUCCCAGGGACAGGUAACAUCCUUGCCUUCUGUAUUCCCUAUGAUGGUACCAUCACUUAACUUCAUUUUCCAAGUUAUUCUCCCAGAGAGACCACCCAUUGACCACAGCUUCCCUUUGCAUUCAGAAUGAAACCAUCAUCAAUUAGCUGCAGCUCCCCAUCUACAUUCCCAAGGAUAUCAUAACCAAUAGGCUGCAGCUUCCAGUUACAUAACUAAGGAGACCAUCAUCAACUGGCCACAGCAUCCUCUUUAUAUUCCCAGUGAUAACCAUCAAUUGGUUCCAGCUUUCCUUUAACAUUCCUAAGGGAUAACAUCAUCUAUUAGAUUCUGCCUCCUUUUGCAUUUCCAAGCUAAUCUUCAUAAAUUGACUGUGGCUUCCUAUGUACAUACCCAAGCACAUCAUCACCAAGUGGCUACAAGUUACCUCUGGCAUUUCAAAGGACACCAUCAUAGCAGGUUGUUUCUCCUCUUUUUCAUUCCUACGGGGACCAUUAUCCAUUAGUUGCAGCUUCCCUUCUGCAUUUUUAGGAAUAUUAUCAUAAAUAGCUGCUGCUUCCAUAUAUAUUCCUAAGGAUACCACCAUCGAUUGGUGCAGUUUCCCUCUUACCAUUCCUAAGGAUAUAGUUUUAUAUUUCUUAGGAGCCCAUCAUUAGUUUGAUAGGUAGCUCCUCACAGGUCACGACAGUAAAACUGCCAUCCUACCUUUAUUAUUUGCUAUGGUAGCAUGCCUACAUCUUCCCUGGAUGGGAGGCCUGGUACUCUUCCUCUCCCUGUCUGCAGAGCCAUCCUGCCUACUGAAAUCCAGGAGACUCUUGCAAGGAUCAUUUCCCCCAUCCUCCUCACCAGCCUCAGAUUUCUGAUACUUCUCUGCUUUUUUAAUUAUCUUGUGGUUUCCUGCACCAAUGACUGGUGGUGAAAGAAGUGACCACUAUACUGUCCUUGAGAGGUCAUGAGAGGUGCCAGGUGGGUAUUGAACAUGAUGAUCCAUUACAACAUUUCUCUCUUUUUAAGUCUUUAAAUCCCUUUCUCUGUCUCAUAUCAGGGGUGUUGUAAUAACGUAUAGGCCACAAAGUAGACCUGAAUUUAAUCAAUUACCAGCCACUCUUUGGAUCUUUCAGCUAUUGAAGCUAAUGUGUUGACUCAAAAAUUGCGAUAAGGGAGUUCCCAUUGUGGUGCAGAGGAAACGAAUUUGACGAGGAACUAUGAGGUUACAGGUUCGAUCCCUGGCCUCACUAAGUGGGUUAAGGAUCCGGUGUUGCCAUGAGGUGGAGUGUAGGUUGCAGACAUGGCUCAGAUCUGGCAUUGCUGUGGCUCUGGUGUAGGCCGGUGGCUACAGCUCCGAUUAGACCCCUAGCC